rnacentral:lncRNA from 1 species
CUCAUCUUCUGUAACUUCCUCCUGCUGAAUAAGGGGAUAGAAAGGGGAGGCAGCUGAAUCCAAAGCAGUCAACGUAUUUGAACCUCCUUGAGUAAAAGGGAUAUCUAUCAGCUGGAAGUUAUGGCAGUGAAAGAGUCUUGACACUGGGAAGGGAGACACCAGAAAGGACAACAGAAUAAGGAUCUUGAUUGUAUUCUGUUGAUUCAUGCCAAUGCCAUGCUGUUUUGAUUAAUGCAGUGUUGUAAUAAAGUUUGA